rnacentral:rRNA from 1 species
CCUACGGGUGGCAGCAGUGGGGAAUAUUGCACAAUGGGGGAAACCCUGAUGCAGCGACGCCGCGUGAGUGAAGAAGUAUUUCGGUAUGUAAAGCUCUAUCAGCAGGGAAGAAGAAAGACGGUACCUGACUAAGACGCCCCGGCUAACUACGUGCCAGCAGCCGCGGUAAUACGUAGGGGGCAAGCGUUCUCCGGAUUUACUGGGUGGAAAGGGAGCGUAGACGGCUGUGCAAGUCUGAAGUGAAAGCACAGGGCUCAACCCUGGGACUGCUUUGGAAACUGUGGCGCUAGAGUGCUGGAGAGGUAAGUGGAAUUCCUAGUGUAGCGGUGAAAUGCGUAGAUAUUAGGAGGAACACCAGUGGCGAAGGCGGCUUACUGGACAGUAACUGACGUUGAGGCUCGAAAGCGUGGGGAGCAAACAGGAUUAGAUACCCUAGUAGUC